ACCUGGGAGUAAAUUUAAAUGCUUGAAUAUUAAUAGUUAUAUUCUUAAAAAUCAAAGAAUUUGGCGGUAUUUUAGUCUUGUUAGAGGAACUUGUUCUAUAAACGAUAAAACACGUAGAAUCUUACUUAUCUUGGUAAUUACACAGUUUGUAUACCGUCAUUAUUAAAUAAUCUUGAAAAAGCUAAUUAUUGGGAUUAAUAAGUUAAAUAUAUUAGAUCAAGGUGCAGCUGAUAGAUAAGUAGAAAUGAGUUACAAUAAAAUUUAUUUAUAACGGAUUGCAAGUAGAAUUAUUUGCAAAGAAGGUGGAUGUAAUUGUAAAAAGAGUUUAAUAAGCUUUUUUGGUAUAAGCUCUAAAUUAUGCACAUAUCGCCCGUCACUUUCAUUUAAAAUGAAAUAAGUCGUAACAUA
rnacentral:rRNA from 1 species